rnacentral:sRNA from 1 species
GGGCAAAAGGUCAAAGCCCACAUAAGCUUGCUCACAGGUGGGUGAAAGGCCUUGGAACCGCCCCGAUAUGAGCAUAAAAGUGGGAUAAUCAUCCCACGAUAUGUGAAUGUCGGGUAGGAUUGUAGGAGUGCAAAGCACGAAACAAUCCGCAGGUAUC